rnacentral:snRNA from 14 species
AUAUCUUCUCGGCUAUUUAGCUAAGAUCAAGUUAUUAAACUGUUCUUAUCAGAGUAACUCCUGAUAUGGGCCUCGGCCCAAGGAUAGUAACUGUUGAGGCGCCGGCGUCCUCCCGGAGUUCCACGUGUCCGGUUGGGGCGCCGCCUCC